GAAAAUGUAUAGCAAUGACAUAUAUAUAUAUAUAUAUAUAUGUGUGUGUGUGUGUGUCUGUGUGGGUGUGUAUAUAUAUAUAUAGACAUAUA
rnacentral:miRNA from 12 species